AAUUACGACCAAAAAAAAAGGCAAACUCUCUUUGACUAUUUAUUCCUUAAACUAAUAUAGACGAUAGAAUACCAAUGUAAGCAACAGAAUAGAUAGAAAAGUUUAGUGAAGAAAGAUUACAUGAGAUUCAGAUAGAUAAACAUGUAUACAUUCCUUACAAUUCAUUCAAUAAAUUCUUAAUUUCAUUAAAUGUGUCAUACAUAAUAAAGAUUUCCCAUUUACACUGUGAAACAAAUUAGAACAGUUAUCUUGUUUUGAGGUUUAAAAUGACUUUAAUUAAAAACUAACACUACGAAGAUUAAAGGGAGAGUCCCAAGACUCACUCAAAGGAGAAUUAUUAGUAUAUUCUCCAAAGUGUGGGUUUUACUUCCAGGGAAACAAAAUUUUUCCCCAGACACUUGUUUCUUAUCUAUUACCUUACCUAACAGAAUUUAAAGUGUUUAUUUAUAAUAAUAAUGUGGUAUCUUUAAUUUUGCAGGAACACAAUUCUGUGGAUUAGAGAAAAUGUUUUUGUUGGUACUUGAUUUGUUAAACACUUUUUUAUUUUCACAUAAGCCCUCAAAAUUUGGUAAUAAAUCUGCAUGCUAUAUUAACAGAACAUUUUAUUUUGUUAAUCACCAAACUACAACUACUUUUUCAAUUGCAAAAUUUAUAUAAAUCUUAUUUAUUAUAUUCAAAUUAAUAUAGUAUUAUUCAACUGAAAUGAGUGUUUGCGUUUCAUAGAAUAUACAAUGUAUAAAGUUUAAAUUGAAAGGUGUAUAAAAUAUUUACAUAUUUACAGAUGUAAAAUGGAUGAUCAUUAGUUUAUGCCAUGGACUACAGCAUAUGCCAUUAAACUGAUAUAUAUGGACUACAGUACAUGAAACAACAAUUUACUGUGGACUCAUUUAUUUUCUUGGGUAUCAAAUUUUCUUGGGUAUCAAUUUUCGUGGAUUGAGGAACACUUCUAUCUUCACGGAUAUUUGAUUUCGUGUUUUUUUCCACUCACUGCAUACAAAGCCUAUAGAAAAUUUGUAAUUUGUUUUGAUUAUUUGAAUUUGUGGUUCACCUGUAUCCAUGAAACCCACGAAAAAUGGUAGACAACUCAUAUUAAAGAAUCCACAGUAUAAAGAAACUAGAAUAUUAAAAUCCUCACAAAAAUAUUGUCAAUCUCAUUCAUACAAUUACUACAUUACAGACACUAGCAAACACAUAAUAAAAAUCUGGCAAUUAUGACUGAUAUCUACAGCAAUUAAAAAUUCUGAAUGCAUUAUGCUGCCUUUUAAAUAUGAACACAUUAUAAAAGAACUCAUAAAAUUUACUUUAUAAAGAAUAAAACUUUUUGUUGUAUAGCAACAUAUUAUUUCCAACAGAAUGUUAUAUAAAGUAAGUAAUCAAUAGUUUAUGAUACUGCACUGGUGCAAAUAUAACUUUAAACAUCAUCAGUGACAAAUACUUUUUUCAUCCAGUUUUCAAGUGUUGCUGUGCAAAAAAGGGUUAUUGCAUGAAUAUUAUACAUCAUACAUUAUAUUGUACUUGCAAGUUCAUGUAAUCUGAAAAAUUACAUAGGACAAUAGUUUCCAAUAGUCAUACAAUAAAUAUUAUAGGACCGUAUUUCUUAUAUAGAUUACUUGUAUUUAUUCCUACCCGAAUUAUCUUCAAGACACAAGUGUGCCAGUAUUGAAAAAAAAACAUGCACAAAUAACUGUAAAUUCCAUUUAAGUCCCAAUGGUGUUUCACAAUAGUUUAAACUUGAAUUUUAAAUUCUGAAAGCAUUAUUUGUAAGCAGUAUUUCCUGUAAUAUUUUUUCUCACAUUGUUGAUCAUUUUUUAGUGAUAAGUGCACUGAAACAUUUCUGAAUUUG
rnacentral:lncRNA from 1 species